UCCCCUCCCCCGGCCCCGCGGUUGCUGAGAGGGGGAGGCUGCCACUCGUUCGUUUUCUUAUCAUAAAAAAGGGCUUUUUGGUGGAAGCUGACAAGCUUAGGUUUGGGCAUCCAUAUGUUCCUUUCUAAAGAAGGCUAAGUCUCAGGAGGCUCAAGUAAUUGUGGUCAUCUUCUGCACCAGUGUGAUUUAUUUAGUCAUACUGUGUGAUUUCCUCCUCCUUGUAUCUGGGAUUCUCUCCACAGAAGCUGGACCAUUCAAGACUGUAGAAGCCAUCCAUAUGGCCAUGUGAUUGCUGCUGCUGCUGCUUCACGUGAUCCAGCUUUCUGGCACAAAGGCUCUGAGCUCGUACAGAUGAUUGCUAAACGUCAUGAGACUCUGAAAGUGAAUCUCUUGAAGAAAAACUUGAAAGCCUGGAUGCUGAAGAUCUCAUGUCUCAUCUGUCACAACCAGAAACCCACCUAGAUGAGGAGAAAAGAUCAAGUUUUUCUGCCAUUAUAUUGCAUACUCUUUCCAGUUUAAGACUUGAGUUGCUGUGGGGAAAGGAAGGUGCCAGAGAUACUGCAGAGCCCUGAGCAGGGUCAUUUGCCUUGCUUUUGCAGAAACAACAGGAUGGCACUGGGACCUGAACUCUGACUCUCUGCUGUUUCUGCUGUUUUGGAUGCUGAUGCUGCUCUUUCACAACAGCUGAGUUAGAUCCAGAUGGACAUGAAGCUGUGGCAGUUACCAGAGAAGCCCAUGUGAACUCAUCCAUCCAUUUGCUGACCAUUUGAAAUGCUGGAUGUCUUCUUGUUAUUUAUCUGUUCCUUUCACAGAGGCUCAUAUAUGAACAGUAAAUUAGCUGAGAGUGCACAGUGACAUACUCUGAAACUUUAUGUGUGCAUAUUUAAGAACCUCCAUAAAAAUGCAUUAGGAUUUUGCAGGAGUUGGGGGUGGGUUGCUGUAUUGGUCUGUACAAAGGGAACCUAAGGUGCAGAUUGGUAGGGAAUCAAACCUUUUAGUGCCCAACCUUUUAGAAUAUGAGUGAUAAUGAUAGAUUUUGAUCAUUAGCAGCAUCUCAGUUUGUGACAGCAUUAGCUUCAACAAUUUAUUGUCUUGAUGCAGUUCAUGGUAGCAGAGUGGCGAAGAAAAAUGAGAAGUAAGGGUUAAUUUCUAGCUGCCUUUAAGCUGAUGGCAGAACUCCUGAUGACUUCAAGGGUGAAGAUCUCACCUCAGGUUUCAGCUGGUGUAAGUUGACAUUCCUCCAUAUACUUCAAUAAAAUCAAUGAAGCCCUGAUAAUUUAUUGCAAGUGAGAAUCCAGCCCUAAGGCUAUUAAGGACUAUAAUGUAUAAAGCUAUAAUUAUGAAACCAUAAUUCCAUCAAGAGCUUCUGGCGAUAUCAUGGACUAGAGUUAAGUGAAUUGUGCAAAUAAAUGUAAUGGUCUUGCAGUGCAGUAGAAAUACCUCUCUCUCUCUCUAGAUAGAACUCUUAGCACAAAGAUAUUAAAAUAUCUUUUAUCCAAUCAUAGCAAUAAUUGGAAAAGAAAUAUCAGCUGCAGAUAUGAGAUUUCCAGGGCACUGAAUCAAAACAUGCAUUUUGCAGCAACCACUUCAAAAUUGUGGAGGGUUCUCUGCACUACUGUGAUAACUCAAAGCAUAAAAUCUCCUCUUGAUUUUUAUGUUAUUUAUCACUAUCAAUCAGCUUUGAUAGUAUGGCUCAAAUUUCAAUGCUGAAUGCACCCAGAUAGCACAUGGGUGUUUCACCUUGUAUAACACAGCAAGGAAAGGAUGAGAGUAAAUAGCCUCCAGUUACACCAGAAGAGAUUUAAUUAGAUAUUAGCAAAAAAUUUUUCACAGAAAGGGUUGUAAAGCAUUGGAACAGACUGCUGAGGGAAGUGGUGAAGUCACCAUCCCUGGAAGUGUUCAAAAAGUAUGGAUAUGACACUAAAGGCCAUGAUUUAACGAUGAACAUGUCAGUGGUUCUAGGCUGAUGGUUGGACCUGAUGAUAUUAAAUGUCUUUUCCAAACGUAAUGAUUCGUGAUUCUAAAGCAAGCACUGUGUGUGCAUAAAGAUGUGCCCGAAUGGCAGGAGUGGAUGGAGCCCUGGGAAGGGAAGAAGACUCUGUAGGUGUUUGGGAUGGAGGAGCAUGGAUUGGGUAGGAUGAAACUGAUAAUCUACUCUUCUACCUUUUUUCACCCCUCUUUCUUUCUUUUUUGUAAAUCUGUACCUGAAUAAUUAGUCUCCCAAUUAGACAAAGACCUAUACAAAUACUCAAUCAUCCUGUUCUUGCAUAUGCAAGAUACAAACUGGGUAUAUAAAGAUGUCUGUGCACCAGUGGGUCUUUCUUCAUUUAAAAAUCAGAUCUCUGCUGGUCUCUCUGCAGCCUUUUGGGUCUCUGAAGCUGCAGGGAAACCCAGAUGUAAUUAAUCUUCACCGGGAAGAUUUGUCUGAAUUACAGUCCUGAAUCUCAAGCAGUCUGGAGCUUGAGGAAACACAUGGAUCAAGAUUCAGUUUAGAUUAGAUGUGAUAAUUCUGAGGAUACAGCUCUCUCUUGACUAGGAAAAGCACACUUUUUGUGAGUCAGUCUCUUAAAAUCAAGGCAGAUAGAGGAAGAAAUGAAAAAAAAAGAAAUUUUGCAAAAGUGAAAAGCUUUGAGCAGGAUAUUUUCCUCUUAUUUGCUCAUGUAACAGGAUUUUUCAAACAACAUAGUCAGCUGUUGAGCAUGAGAUAUCACUCACAGCUCCAGGUAUUGGUUGAAAAGUGACUUCAGAUUCAAGCCUCCCUUGUGCCACAGUAAACUUUAUUUUGUCUGUAUUUGCUCAGUUGAAACUGUAAAGAAAAUAAAUGACAGAUUUCCUCUGUGGAAAAGUCCUGCAGAAUUUAACAUUGGUGAAAUCAUGAGGAUCUUCAAGGAUAGGGAACUGUAAAAAAAAUCAGAACUCCCCCUGAAAUUCAGCAGAUUUCCUGUCUAUUCUACAGUGUUUUAUAUGCAAUUUCCUGUUAAAAUUAAAAAUAUUAAAAAGCCCUAAAAUAGGCAUUAACAAGGCUAGAAUUUCCUAUUAAGUUGUGAAGGACUUUUCCAUCGGGACUGUGGCAGGUUAACUGCAGCAUCUGAAAAGUUUGGAUCUGGCAUGUGGUGGACUGAGUGGCAGUGUGAGCAUCUGCCCUGGAAGGUCUGUAGCAGCAUCCCUCAGUGCAACCCCUGUUCCAUUUUCUGCUAAUGAAACAACCCCAGCCAGGCUCUGAUUCAAUAACCUGUUCACCAUGGCCUCAAAUCAGUCUCUGGAAAAUUUCACUUCUGAGUCUCAUUGAAGUCACUGAAAAUGAGGCACAUAGUGGAAGUAAAUUACUUGUUUAUGCUGUACUUUGCAGUGCCAGGCUUAGGCUUGAUCCUAAAAUCUAAGUGCAGCUUUUUGCUGCCUUCAAUGGGCUCUAGGGCAGGUGCUACAACAGCAUCUCCCCACACUAGGAUACAUAACAGGUUAUUCCACCCACUGGGUUUCUCACAGGAUGCAGAAGAAGUGAGUGUAGCCUGAGGCUGAAGACAUAUGCACAAGUGAGAUAAGGAUCAUAUAUGGGAAUUUGCAGUGGGAUUGCCCUACUUUAUACAGCUGAAGAUCUAAUCCUGGCUAUCUAAUAAAACAGUUAAUCUUCAAAAUCUUCUUGAUAGACUGUGCAAAAGGAGCCCAAAACUGGCAAUUAGCUCUGUUUUUAAAAUACUCCAGGCAUACAUUUUAAAUAUCUGCACGUAAUUCUGGGGAAGUGAUUCAUAGCAAUGCAGGGGAACCUGAGGACGGCUCAGAAUAAAUUGGACAGAUGACAGAAACCCAAUCUUUAUUGAAAUAUCAGAUAAGGAAGUGUCAUGGUUUAACCCUAGACAGCAACUAAACUGCUCACUCACUCCCC